GGGGGCGCAGCCUAAUCAUGCUGACUAGACGUAUAUCAGGCGAGCUCCCGCUUGGCUCACCGAUCGUUGGGGGUAAUCAUAAACCACUGUUACCAAAUCGGGGUGAUUCCACACAGCCUAAACUGGGGAUGCCGUGGGGAACCCACCAAUACUCUUCUCUGAACCCUCCGACGUCGGGGAGACAGAGGAAGGAUGCUGAGGGCGACGGGACUGGGGAAGGACGACCGUCUUCCCCGCUCUCACAAUUGCCAUGCGGCAACUCGCUCUGACCCCCCCCCCCCACCAUGGACCGGCGGGGUUAUCUCAGUCCUGAAGCCAUCAUGGAC